GUCCAGGCAUGGGAAUCGAACCCACAGUGUUCCGCUUACCGGGCAGAUGCCAUGUCCACUAGGCUACCUUGUA
rnacentral:tRNA from 1 species